rnacentral:lncRNA from 1 species
CUCGUUUUAUAUAUUUAAUACUAAAUAAUGAAUCAUGUAGAAAAUAUAGUUUCCUCUAAUACUAAAAAAGUGGACAAAAUUAUUGUUUUCAGUUCUGGUACUCACGGCUGUCUGCUAGAAUUAUUUUUAGAGACGAAAAUAAGGGGCAGACUUUUAUUCUCUCACAUUUCUCAGACCCCCUAAAUUCAAAUGUUCCGUAUACUUUAGGCUUUUAAUCUAUGUAGAAGUAACUGACUGGGGUCCUUAUUCAGCAAGCCAAUGUGCAGUUUUUGUUAUGGACUAACUUGAGCGUGUGGGUUAAACAUGUGUUCGUCUGUAAAUUAAAAUGUUAUAGCUGUGGAACUUUUUUGUUCAUGUGAGAUAAUUGAUUUACCUUCUAUUCGGUGGAAUAGAGAAAUAAGCGUCAAUGCGCCCUUGUUCCAAUCUUUGUCUUUUUGAAGGCGUCGUGCUUGCCAUCUUCAAUCAAUUUCUAUUUCAGAAUGACGUUUUUUCGACGUACUGGUCAAAUCCACCGGAAGUGAAUCACGUGACAUAUUAGACAUAAUCAAUAACAUAUUUGACGUAAAAUGCGAGCAAGAAAUAAUAUCUGUACAAGUAAAGAGCUGUUUCAUUUAAUAUAAGG